CCUACUGGUGGCUGCAGUGGGGAAUAUUGGACAAUGGGCGCAAGCCUGAUCCAGCAAUGCCGCGUGAGUGAAGAAGGCCCUAGGGUUGUAAAGCUCUUUCGUCAGGGAAGCUAAUGACGGUACCUGCAGAAGAAGCCCCGGCUAACUCCGUGCCAGCAGCCGCGGUAAUACGGAGUGUGCAAGCGUUGUUCGGAAUUCCUGGGCGUAAAGCGCACGUAGGCGGCUAACCAAGUUGGGGGUGAAAGCCCAGGGCUUAACCCUGGAACGGCCUUCAAGACUGGUUGGCUAGAGGCCGAGAGAGGUAAGGGGAAUUCCUAGUGUAGAGGUGAAAUUCGUAGAUAUUAGGAAGAACACCGGUGGCGAAGGCGCCUUACUGGCUCGGAACUGACGCUGAGGUGCGAAAGCGUGGGGAUCAAACAGGAUUAGAUACCCGUGUAGUC
rnacentral:rRNA from 1 species